GAUUCGGGGUGCAGAGGCGCGAAAACUUUACACUGCGGGAAACCGCGAUAAGGGGACCCCGAGUGCCAGCACCUAGUGCUGGCUGUCCAGUUGUCCAAAUAACAACUGUUAGCAAGGGCCGGGCAAGACCGGUGCCAGCCGCCGCGGUAACACCGGCGGCCCGAGUGGUAGCCGCUAUUAUUGGGUUUAAAGGGUCCGUAGCCGGCUUAUUAAGUCUUUUGGGAAAUCUGGCGGCUCAAUCGUCAGGCGUCCAAAAGAUACUGGUAGGCUUGGGACCGGGAGAGGUGGGAGGUACUCCAGGGGUAGGGGUGAAAUCUCGUAAUCCUUGGGGGACCACCGAUGGCGAAGGCAUCCCACCAGAACGGGUCCGACGGUGAGGGACGAAAGCUGGGGGCACGAACCGGACUAGAUACCCGGGUAGUCCCAGCUGUAAACGAUGCUCGCUAGGUGUCAGGUGCGGUGCGACCGCAUCUGGUGCCGCAGUGAAAACUUGAAGCGAGUCACCUGGGAAGUACGGUCGCAAGGCUGAAACUUAAAGGAAUUGGCGGGGGAGCACAAUCACUAGUGAAU
rnacentral:rRNA from 1 species